CCCUUAGAUGUUCUGGGCCGCACGCGCGCUACACUGACGAAGUCAGCGAGCAUGUCCUACGCCGACAGGUGCGGGGAAUCUUGUCAAACUUCGUCGUGAUGGGGAUUGAUUAUUGAAAUUCUUGAUCAUCAACGAGGAAUUCCUAGUAAGCGCAAGUCAGCAGCUUGCGUUGAUUACGUCCCUGCCCUUUGUACACACCGCCCGUCGCUACUGCCGAUUGAAUGGUUUAGUGAGAUCUUCGGAUUGGCGCCACUGCGGCUCAGCAAUGGGCUCGGUGGAUGCCGAAAAGUUGAUCAAACUUGAUCAUUUAGAGGAAGUAAAAGUCGUAACA
rnacentral:rRNA from 1 species